rnacentral:misc_RNA from 1 species
AAGUCGUAACAAGGUUUCCGUAGGUGAACCUGCGGAAGGAUCAUUAGCGAGUUAGGGUCUUCUAGGCCCGACCUCCCAACCCUAUGUUUAUUGAACCUCUGUUGCUUCGGCGGACCCGCCUCACGGCCGCCGGAGGACCGCUGCAAGGCGUCCUCUGGCCAGCGCCCGCCGAUGGCCAACCACUUAAACUCUGAAUGAAUCGUGUCAUAUGUCUAAGUCUAUGAUUAAAUUAAAGCAAAACUUUCAACAACGGAUCUCUUGGUUCUG